AUGGCAGCAUCGUCCGCCGGUACCUCCUCGUCGUCGCGGGCAAUCCUAUCCCACCGCAUCCCCGACCCAGGUUUCUCCACCGAAGCGUCCUCCUCCUCGCCCUCGGCGCGCGCUGAUGGGAGCGACGAGGACAUGCUCAACCUGGACUUCCCGUGGGUGGCGGCGGCCGAGGCGGAAUCCAUACUGGAGGACGCCGCUGCUACGGAGAGAAUUCACCUUCGCGCCGCGGAGGAGGAUGAAGAGGGGAUAAGAGUCAACCAGGAGCGACAGCAGGACGAGCUGAUGGCAUUGGAAGCAAUAUAUGGGGAUGACCUGGUUGAAUUUAAAAGCAAAGGAGGGCUCCGUUUUUUCCAGGUGUACAUACGCUACGACUUGCAUCACGGCUCUCAAGUAUGCGCUAAGUUUUCUUCUGCCGAUGGAGGAUGCCCUCAUGAUGGUAUAGAAGAAGAUGGUGAUGAACCAGAGGAUUAUUCUUGCACUUUCAACCUUGACCACUUGCCUCCUUCGGUAUUGACAUGCUUACUUCCUCCGUGGUAUCCUAGCAAAGACCCCCCAUAUUUUACAAUCACUGCCAAAUGGAUGGAUGGGUCUCAAGUUUCUCAGAUCUAUGAGAUGCUUGAUGCCAUAUGGGUAGAGUUCCCGGGGCAGGAAGUGGUAUAUCAGUGGGUUGAGUGGAUCCGCAAUUCGUCUUUGUCACACCUCUGGAUUGAUGGCAAAAUAAUAUUAGGUCCAGACAGUCCAGCAAAGAAAACGGAUAGCCGUGCAAUCUCAAGAGCCAUCCCAUUGGAUUAUGUAAUCCCUUCGAUGCUCAGUUACAGUAGUAAGAAGCGUCCUAAAGAUUUUCUUGAAGAUCUUCAUAUGUGCAUGAUAUGCCUUAACGAGAGCAAUGGUUCGAACUUCAUCCAGCUGCCAUGCCAACACUUGUUUUGUGUCAAGUGCAUGGAGACCUUAUGCCGGUUGCAUGUGAAGGAAGGUAGUGUGUUCCGAUUGGUGUGCCCCGACACCAAGUGCAACGCUUCUAUUCCGCCAUAUCUGCUAAAGAAUAUUCUUAGGGAAGAAGAAUUUGAACGUUGGGAUAGGCUUGUUCUUGAGAAAGCAUUGGGCUCAAUGUCAGACGUGGCUUACUGUCCAAGGUGCUCGAUUGCUUGCUUGGCAGACGAGGAUAAAAACGCACAAUGUCCAAAAUGUUCCUUUACCUUCUGCUCAGUUUGCAAGGAUCCACGCCAUCCAGGGAAACAAUGUUUAACUCCGGAACAAAAGCUCCAGCGCCGUCAGGCAUCAGGCAAGUUGGCUGUGAGGGAGAUGGUGCAGGAAAUGUUGAUGAUAAAGACGUUGUACAGCGAUGCUAGGGCAUGUCCACAUUGUCGGAUGGCCAUUAGCAAAACUGAAGGGUGCAACUUAAUGUAUUGUGUGAACCGUGGCAAGUCAUUUUGCUACCGUUGUGGCAAGGUCAUGGGUGAAGGCUUUUCUGAUCAUUUCAGGAAAUGUGGGCUGUAUGCGCCUAGAGAAGAAUCCGAUACAAAGGAUUUGCAGAAGCAACUGGAGAAGUUAGAAACCGGGAAUCAUAGGGUUCAGAGGCAACCGGUAGGUAGUACCGUAAAAUGCCCGAAAUGCGGCCAGAAAAUUUUCAAGGAUAAUGCUGAAUAUAUCUUCUGCGGGGCGUGCCAAGCCAGCUAUUGUACCCUGUGCAAAAAGCGGGUCGAGUUUACAAGGCAACAUGGGGCAGGGGGGCACUGGGGGUCACCGGAGUGCGUGGGGAUAACUUUCUAG
rnacentral:rRNA from 1 species